rnacentral:rRNA from 1 species
GUCUACGGCCAUGCCACCCUGAACAAAUGCGAUCUCAUCUGAUCUCGGAAGUUAAGUAGGGUCUGGCAUGGUUAGUACUUGGAUGGGAGACCAUCUAGGAAUUCCAGAUGCUGUUGGCA